AUGAAAGAAGCGCCGUCACAAUCCUCCACUGAUGCCCAAUUCUCGGGGGACGACCGUCCACUUGAGCAGAUUCGGGAAAAGGACGGGAGGAAGGAGGAGGAGACGUCGCUGCAGAGGAGCGGGGCGAGAGAAGUGAGCGCCGAGGGGCGACGAUGCCGCCGCUGCAGCCACCACUUCCUCGGAACGCGGCAGGCGCCUGCAAGAAGAGCCGGCCGCCGCGGAGCAGCCAACCCGCGCCCACCUUCCCGCGCCUCGGAGCCAAGCCGCCCAAAGCAGCAGCAGCCUUCGCGCGGUAAGCGAGCUUCGCGCUCUCCACCCGCUUCUCCUCCCUCCCUGCUGCCAGGCGACGCCUCGCGAGCUUUCCGCGCCUACCUCUCGCGAGAGCAGGGGGCAGACGGCCGGCCGGGGCCUAGUAGCAGCGACAGUUGCCGGCUAGAGGCAGCGGCGGCGGCGGCGGCGAGGGGGAAGCGCGGCGAGGCUGGAGCCCCGGCGUCGUGGGGCGCAGCAGAGUUGGCUACCAGUACAGGAGAAUGCAGUUGGGUCCAGUAAUUCCAGUAUCCCCAUAUCUGUCACAUCACUUGUUCCAGACUUAUCAUUUAUUCUUUGAUCCUUGUGUCAUUCAUGUAAGUCAGUUGGUGCCACUGUUUUUGUUUAGUAUUGUAUUUCACUAUUUUGAAAAAUAUUUUCUAACAAUACUUUUGAUGUUAUGCCACAUACCUUCUUUAUAAAUUGUUGUUGUUGGCAUCUGUCAUCUGACAAAAAUUAAAUUCCAACAGAUGAUACUUAGCCAGUUUCUUUCUUUUGGAAAGGAGUUACUGGUUCACAUAACAUGGUAAACCAAACCUUGGCUUAGCUGACACACUGCACUGACUUUAGGACUAGGAAGGAACAAAGUGGUUACAAUUUCCUCUCCUCUCCAGUAGCCUACACAUUCCUGCUAAGUUGUGGUUUGGCUUGUGUGUGAAUGUGGCCAUUUUGUCAGUCCUUUUAUUCUUGCAAUGUUAAAAGUUUUAAACCAUAGAUACUUAAGACAUGUAAAAUGUUUGAGUACUUUUCUUAUAUUUCAAAACAAUUUGGGUGUAUUAAUGGACUUGUUCAAAUAUAUACAUACUUAACUUAGAUUUGUGUUUAAGCUAUACACUUCUUGGAAAAUAAUAGAAAGCGCCUCAGACUAAUCUACUGGAUUGUAUCAUGACAGUAGAUUAUGGAUGGCAUCCAACACUAGGCAUAUUUUGAUUUCAGUGGGUCUGCUCUGAGUCCAACUAAUAUUGGAUAUCACCAUUAAUAUUUUUUUUAAUGUUAUUCUUGUCUAAAUAGAGAUUUUAAGCCUCUUUAAAUCUGUGUGGUGCUUCAGUGAGACACCAUGUAUCUUUUGUAGUAUAAACACCCCGUUUUAUUGUAAAACAGUUAGCACUUAUGAUCCUGGGAUUUUACACAACAGGCCUUUAUGUUUUCUUCAUCUGCUCUGCUUCUUCAAAACCUACAACUUCAUUAUUUUCCUUUCACAGAAUAUUUGCAACUACUAAACUAGUAUGCUUGGAUCAUUCUGUUUUAUUUCUUUUGCCUUACUUUGGAAGAUGCUCCAUCACAAUUUUUCAUUAAUUUUUCUCCAGCCUCCUCCAACAAUGCCCCCUUCAUCAUAGUAAUGUAGAACAGUAUUCUGGCUUUGGUAAGUAAAAGGAGAGACUUAAAUCCAGACAGAAACAGGAAUAUAUUUAUGAGAGCAUUUUAAUUAUGUAAAUAUCAGUAGCAAGAAUGUGAUUCCUAGAGGCAUUGGGCAUAAAGGCAAAAUGUCCAUAAUUCUUAAAAAUAACUACAUGCUGCUGUGAAUUAUUAUUAUUAUUUAUUUAUUAAAUUUGUUAGUCACUUUAUGUUGCCUAGGGCAAUCCAAAGCAACUUACAGACAAACAAGCAAGACAUUAAACCCCACAUAGAUA
ensembl:lncRNA